GACGAACCGUGCGAACGUUGUUCGGAUUCAUUGGGCUUAAAGGGCGCGUAGGCGGCCGCUCAAGUCGGGGGUGAAAUCUUUCAGCUCAACUGGAAAAUAGCCUACGAUACUGGUCGGCUGGAGGGAGAUAGGGGUGCGCGGAACUUCCGGUGGAGCGGUGAAAUGCGUAGAUAUCGGAAGGAACGCCGGUGGCGAAAGCGGCGCACUGGAUCUCAUCUGACGCUGAGGCGCGAAAGCCAGGGGAGCAAACGGG
rnacentral:rRNA from 1 species